AUAAUGUCCUGACUCUUCCAGUAGAAACACCACGAAAAAUUCACACACACCCACAUGGCAAAGGAGCACAGCACUUAGGUGCAGUGCUGCAGAAUCCUGUCCCACGCAUUGCAAAUGAGCUUGUUCUCGGUCUUGGGACACUUGUGGAUGUACCCUGUAUCUUCACAGUACUUGAUUUUCACAGUAACUGGUUGCCAAGGAGAAAAACCAUAAAGGCACCUAUA
rnacentral:lncRNA from 1 species